AAUUAUUAAAAAGUACAAAGCACGUUGGAUGAAUAUUGUCAAUCAAAAUGGACGAGCUCGUAUUAUGAAAUGUUACCAAAAUUUCCUGAUAAAUCUGUAUAUUAUCCGCCAAACCUGGGUCGAAAGCGACAUCAGGGGGAUGCACCCCAUCAACAACCUGGUGUCUCCUUUGCCAACGCUCUUCGCUACCCUGGAAUCUCACAAACAUCUACCGCUUAGCCGGCAGCACUGCGUCCACAGCCACAGCCAUCUAUACCAAAGCUGAAUAAUUUUCCGCUCUUAAGACAAAACAGCCAAACAACUCAAACUUCUACACAGCAAAACCAAACUCUUCUAAGCGGUUUUGAAUUUACAUUAGCUAUUCUUACAAACAUCAUGAUGUCGAUCCAAAGUUCCCGUCAAGAACUACUGCGAAACCAAAACCAGAAUGGAACUGCUGAUCAAACAAAAGUCUGUAUAAAUAGACUCUUUAAGAAUAUGCUUCUGGAACGCAUUCGGCGUUUCCCGGCACAAAAACGAACUUUUGCAGCCUAAACAGCCAUAAUAUCGACAUCAUGCUACUCUCUGAAACCCAUCUAAGGAAUAAAAACUACUUCCAUAUCAUCGGCUAUAUGUUCUACGUGACCAACCACCCGGACGACAUUCGCUACAAACUACCUGCAGCCCAAAUCUCUACGUAUAAACCUAACUUGUCUCACCAGAUAGGCCCACAUACUAGAGUGCAGAUCCAAAUGAACAACCAGACAUUAUCGAUUUUGCCGUAAUUAGAAGAGUUUCGCAUAGGCUGAUAAAAGUAAAAACUUUAGAAGAGCUAACAUUGGACCAGUCUCCAGUUCUUCCCUGUAUAUGUGACCAGCCGCUGCCUCUGGGACGCCCUCAACAUCUAACAUCAAACAAAACAAACUGGCUGAAAUACAAAAUAUAUGUAAGUGCACGCAUCGAACUUGAUUCUGAAAUUUCCUCCGAAUCUGACAUUGAUAAGAUAAGAUAAGCACCUCUCGGAUCUAUUGUCCUAUUCCGCCAAACAUUCUAAGCCUAAACCCUCGGCAACAAACCCUCUAAGAAUUGAACGCUUAAGUUCCCAGAUCGAGUCUCUCCUACUUGAAAACUGGCAGACUCAUCGGUCCCCAGCUACAAAGCAAAGACUAAAAGCAAAAGACUAAUGCAUCUCGAAAGUUGUCGACGGCCCUCUCUACCAAAAAGAACCAUGCAGCAGGAGUACCCCAAAAAAGUAUGCUUGGACCAAUCUUGUACAUUCUUUACACGGCAGACAUUUCGACAAGCCGUCAAACCCUCAUCUCAACCUCCGCUGACGACACUGCCAUUAUUAGCCGCUCGAAAUCCCUAAACACACAACAGCACAUUUAAAAGAGCACCUGGUAGCUGUAGAAAAAUGGCUAGCAGACUGGCGGAUCAAAGUUAACGGCAAAAGUAAGCAGACGAAUUCACAUAACUUGGCAUACAUUUAGGCAUUUAACUUGGCAUACAUUUCAAAGAGUACAAUCAAAGCCCCACGAAAAAUAAUCGGAGCCCCCUGGUACAUCCGCAACGCAAACAUUCAGAGAGACCUGGAUAUAUCCCGUAAAAGAAUAAAUUAUUUCUAGGAAAAUUAAAUAUGAAACCAAAUUAUCAAAUCACGCAAACCUGACAACUCAACCGGCUAUGCUAUCAUUUCCGUCAACAGCGGAAUAAUUUCCCAUCCAUUUUUAAUAACAUAAAUUAACGUAACAUAGAUUAAGAUCUAAAAACUUUCUGUUAGUCCUAUAAAUUAGAACAAAAUACAAAAAAAGGAUUUUUCCAAAAGUAUUAUUUGCCGUCUCGUUGCAAUUUUGUAAUAAAAGGGAAAGGCUCCGAGUACUGGCUCUAAUUAGAUGUAACAUGGAAGUGCAAAAUGAUUCAGCGAAGCUAUAAGCUUCCAGACCAAACCUUCAGAAAGGCGGGCAAAGUGUCCAAAAAGAGUCGUGCGAAGUCCCAAGCGAGUUAGCAAGACGACUAGGCGAUGAACCAUAAUAAUGGAUGGAGAGUAGGGUCAAUGUAAUCGAGGCCUCGUGACGCUGUCAUAAAGCGGGCUGUGGAACCUGCGUAGUGUCACUAAAUCAAGUCCUAACAUUAAGGACUAUUUUAUGCUGUAGGUGACUAUAGGCAGCGUUGAGAGUUUAGAAGCAAAAGCAUCGAGAAGGUCCUCGGUGCAAUCUUUAGCACUGGAACCAAAAACCUAAAUAUUUGAAAGGGUGAUCUUAACGUGUACAGCAAUCAAACUAGUCCCUUCUUGGCUAUAGGAAGUGGUGGUCAGACGGUAAGACCGCAGAAGUGAUAUCCAGGAAGCUGCUGAAUACAAAUGACUGAAGCAUUAUCUCAGCAGAUUACUGACGACCUUCUGACAUUCAAGGGCCAUCCACGGUCCACUCAUGGAGCUUAGAAGAAACAGUGCAUUACUUUUAUCCAGCGAAAAGCUCAAGUAUUCCGACAACAGGACCCAUAAUUUCCGAUUUCUACAGUUUUUGUCGGUAUUUCUGCUUCUUAA